rnacentral:rRNA from 1 species
GAGUUUGAUUCUGGCUCAGGACGAACGCUGGCGGCGUGCUUAACACAUGCAAGUCACGGGGGCCCGCAAGGGCAACCGGCGAACGGGUGCGUAACACGUGAGCAACCUGCCUUCGUGUGGGGGAUAGCCGGCCCAACGGCCGGGUAAUACCGCAUACGAUUCUCGAGGGGAGUCCCUUGGGAAGGAAACCUCCGGGGCACGAAGAGGGGCUCGCGGCCUAUCAGCUAGUUGGCGGGGUAAUGGCCCACCAAGGCGACGACGGGUAGCUGGUCUGAGAGGAUGGCCAGCCACAUUGGGACUGAGAGACGGCCCAGACUCCUACGGGAGGCAGCAGUGGGGAAUCUUGCGCAAUGGCCGAAAGGCUGACGCAGCGACGCCGCGUGUGGGAUGAAGCAUUUCGGUGUGUAAACCACUGUUGCCCGGGACGAACAGCUUCUUUCGAGGAGCCUGACGGUACCGGGUGAGGAAGCACCGGCUAACUCCGUGCCAGCAGCCGCGGUAAUACGGAGGGUGCGAGCGUUGUCCGGAAUCACUGGGCGUAAAGGGCGCGUAGGUGGCGUGAGAAGUCAACGGUGAAAGCUUGGGGCUCAACCCCGAGUCGGCCGUCGAUACUCUUAGGCUUGAGCACUGUAGAGGCAGGUGGAAUUCCGGGUGUAGCGGUGGAAUGCGUAGAGAUCCGGAAGAACACCGGUGGCGAAGGCGGCCUGCUGGGCAGUUGCUGACACUGAGGCGCGACAGCGUGGGGAGCAAACAGGAUUAGAUACCCUGGUAGUCCACGCCGUAAACGAUGGGCACUAGGUGCUUGGGGGAGCGACCCUCUGAGUGCCGGCGCUAACGCAUUAAGUGCCCCGCCUGGGGAGUACGGCCGCAAGGCUGAAACUCAAAUGAAUUGACGGGG